AUACGUAGGGGGCGAGCGUUGUCCGGAAUGAUUGGGCGUAAAGGGCGCGUAGGCGGCCUGUUAAGUACGGAGUGAAAGUCCUGUUUUCAAGAUGGGAAUUGCUUUGGAUACUGAUGGGCUUGAGUGCAGGAGUGGUUAUCGGAAUUCCGGUGUAGCGGUGAAAUGCGUAGAGAUCGGGAGGAACAACAGUGGCGAAGGCGGGUAACUGGACUGCAACUGACGCUGAGGCGCGAAAGUGUGGAGAGCAGACAGGAUUAGAUACCCUGGUAGUCCACACUGUAAACGAUGAAUGCUAGGUGUAAGAGGUAUCGACCCCUUUUGUGCCGGAGUUAACACAAUAAGCAUUCCGCCUGGGGAGUACGGCCGCAAGGUUGAAACUCAAAUGAAUUGACGGGG
rnacentral:rRNA from 1 species